rnacentral:rRNA from 1 species
UACGGAGGGAGCUAGCGUUGUUCGGAAUCAUUGGGCGUAAAGCGCACGUAGGCGGUUCGUUAUGUCGGAUGUGAAAGCCCUCGGCUUAACCGGGGAAGUGCAUCCGAAACUGGCGAGCUUGAGUACUAAAGAGGGUCGCGGAAUUCCCGGUGUAGAGGUGAAAUUCGUAGAUAUCGGGAGGAACACCAGCGGCGAAGGCGGCGACCUGGGUAGAUACUGACGCUGAGGUGCGAAAGCGUGGGGAGCAAACAGG